GACGUGCUAAUCUGCGAUAAGCGUCGGUAAGGUGAUAUGAACCGUUAUAACCGGCGAUUUCCGAAUGGGGAAACCCAGUGUGUUUCGACACACUAUCAUUAACUGAAUCCAUAGGUUAAUGAGGCGAACCGGGGGAACUGAAACAUCUAAGUACCCCGAGGAAAAGAAAUCAACCGAGAUUCCCCCAGUAGCGGCGAGCGAACGGGGAGCAGCCCAGAGCCUGAAUCAGUGUGUGUGUUAGUGGAAGCGUCUGGAAAGGCGCGCGAUACAGGGUGACAGCCCCGUACACAAAAAUGCACAUGCUGUGAGCUCGAUGAGUAGGGCGGGACACGUGGUAUCCUGUCUGAAUAUGGGGGGACCAUCCUCCAAGGCUAAAUACUCCUGACUGACCGAUAGUGAACCAGUACCGUGAGGGAAAGGCGAAAAGAACCCCGGCGAGGGGAGUGAAAAAGAACCUGAAACCGUGUACGUACAAGCAGUGGGAGCACGCUUAGGCGUGUGACUGCGUACCUUUUGUAUAAUGGGUCAGCGACUUAUAUUCUGUAGCAAGGUUAACCGAAUAGGGGAGCCGAAGGGAAACCGAGUCUUAACUGGGCGUUAAGUUGCAGGGUAUAGACCCGAAACCCGGUGAUCUAGCCAUGGGCAGGUUGAAGGUUGGGUAACACUAACUGGAGGACCGAACCGACUAAUGUUGAAAAAUUAGCGGAUGACUUGUGGCUGGGGGUGAAAGGCCAAUCAAACCGGGAGAUAGCUGGUUCUCCCCGAAAGCUAUUUAGGUAGCGCCUCGUGAAUUCAUCUCCGGGGGUAGAGCACUGUUUCGGCAAGGGGGUCAUCCCGACUUACCAACCCGAUGCAAACUGCGAAUACCGGAGAAUGUUAUCACGGGAGACACACGGCGGGUGCUAACGUCCGUCGUGAAGAGGGAAACAACCCAGACCGCCAGCUAAGGUCCCAAAGUCAUGGUUAAGUGGGAAACGAUGUGGGAAGGCCCAGACAGCCAGGAUGUUGGCUUAGAAGCAGCCAUCAUUUAAAGAAAGCGUAAUAGCUCACUGGUCGAGUCGGCCUGCGCGGAAGAUGUAACGGGGCUAAACCAUGCACCGAAGCUGCGGCAGCGACGCUUAUGCGUUGUUGGGUAGGGGAGCGUUCUGUAAGCCUGUGAAGGUGUGCUGUGAGGCAUGCUGGAGGUAUCAGAAGUGCGAAUGCUGACAUAAGUAACGAUAAAGCGGGUGAAAAGCCCGCUCGCCGGAAGACCAAGGGUUCCUGUCCAACGUUAAUCGGGGCAGGGUGAGUCGACCCCUAAGGCGAGGCCGAAAGGCGUAGUCGAUGGGAAACAGGUUAAUAUUCCUGUACUUGGUGUUACUGCGAAGGGGGGACGGAGAAGGCUAUGUUGGCCGGGCGACGGUUGUCCCGGUUUAAGCGUGUAGGCUGGUUUUCCAGGCAAAUCCGGAAAAUCAAGGCUGAGGCGUGAUGACGAGGCACUACGGUGCUGAAGCAACAAAUGCCCUGCUUCCAGGAAAAGCCUCUAAGCAUCAGGUAACAUCAAAUCGUACCCCAAACCGACACAGGUGGUCAGGUAGAGAAUACCAAGGCGCUUGAGAGAACUCGGGUGAAGGAACUAGGCAAAAUGGUGCCGUAACUUCGGGAGAAGGCACGCUGAUAUGUAGGUGAAGUCCCUCGCGGAUGGAGCUGAAAUCAGUCGAAGAUACCAGCUGGCUGCAACUGUUUAUUAAAAACACAGCACUGUGCAAACACGAAAGUGGACGUAUACGGUGUGACGCCUGCCCGGUGCCGGAAGGUUAAUUGAUGGGGUUAGCGGUAACGCGAAGCUCUUGAUCGAAGCCCCGGUAAACGGCGGCCGUAACUAUAACGGUCCUAAGGUAGCGAAAUUCCUUGUCGGGUAAGUUCCGACCUGCACGAAUGGCGUAAUGAUGGCCAGGCUGUCUCCACCCGAGACUCAGUGAAAUUGAACUCGCUGUGAAGAUGCAGUGUACCCGCGGCAAGACGGAAAGACCCCGUGAACCUUUACUAUAGCUUGACACUGAACAUUGAGCCUUGAUG
rnacentral:rRNA from 1 species